rnacentral:misc_RNA from 1 species
GAAAUGCGAUACGUAAUGUGAAUUGCAGAAUACAGUGAAUCAUCAAAACCUUGAACGCAAAUUGCACUCUUGGGUCAUUCCAUGAGUACACCUGUCCGAGUGUCAUUUCCAAUACAUCACCAUCCCCCAGAAAAGGGGCACAAAGGUGGAUUAUGGGCAUUGAUUGGAAAGACUUAUCAUUGCUUCAAAGGUAUCAGUUGGGGGUCAGGUUUUUGGCGCUCCUUUUGCAUCGAUUUUUGAAUACCUUCAUGGUGUAUCACUUUGUAUGCAACUGCUACCUUGCCACCCUGUACACUUACUGAUGAAGGUGGGAGGCUUUGGUAUUACUCUAUGUGCCAUGCAUGGUUAUAUAUACAAAAAAGCCUCCCAGGAAAUAUCCAAAACCUUGACCUCGGAUCAGAUGAGGACACCCGCUGAAUUUAA